rnacentral:rRNA from 1 species
UACGGGGGGGGCAAGCGUUGUUCGGAAUUACUGGGCGUAAAGGGCUCGUAGGCGGCCAACUAAGUCAGACGUGAAAUCCCUCGGCUUAACCGGGGAACUGCGUCUGAUACUGGUUGGCUUGAAUCCGGGAGAGGGAUGUGGAAUUCCAGGUGUAGCGGUGAAAUGCGUAGAUAUCUGGAGGAACACCGGUGGCGAAGGCGGCAUCCUGGACCGGUAUUGACGCUGAGAAGCGAAAGCCAGGGGAGCAAACGGG